rnacentral:lncRNA from 1 species
GGGCCAGGGGGUCUGGUUAUAUAGUCCCCUCAGGUGAACCUGGGCCGUCCGAUCAAACCGACAUUGAUUGAACGGUUAUUCUUGAUCCUUUAGGUCGGUGGAGAUCUCCUGAGAGAAAGAGUCCUGAUUGGGCUCCAAGUCAGGGUGGGCGCCCAGGGCAGGAGGGCGGGCGCCCUGCCUCUGGCCCCGUUCGGCCUCCGCUUCCUUCCCGUGGCUUCUGGAGUCUUCUAGAUGUAAGAUAAUUGCGCGGCACAUUAAUAUCUCUAUGUAAUCCUAACGUGUGGGCCUUUCUUCCGUAUUUCCUGAUAACCCCCUAUAGAAAUAGACAAACACCAAAACUCGUGGAAUUCUGUCAGAUAAAACCCUAAGUCUAGAUGUUGAUUUCAUUUAGAUCAUUUUCUUUGUUUAUUUGCUAAUUAAAUUUGAUACUUAAGGACCGUCAACAAACUCCCCCAAGCUUACCUCUUGCUCGUCCCUGAGCAAGGAUAGACUCAUCAAUGGAUCAGAAGUUGUUGCAAUAUCUUAAAAAUUUGACGGUACACAUGCUUUUAAAUAAGAUCUCAUCUCUGAGUUAGAGUAAACUGUCAAGAACUAAAACUUACUUACUUUACCUUUCACCAUGGGACUUGUAAUCGUCACUUCUGUCUUGAGUAGUUAAAAGAUAGAACAGUCUAGCCAAGUGCCAUGUCUCUUAUUCUUGAUCAGCUGUAGCUUUGGAGUUUUUGCAGAUUUCCAAAUAAAACUCAGAGAUUCCUUGUAUGACUCUCUAAAUCUCUCUUUUGUGGUAUUUCUGGAUCCUUACCAAGGCUGUGAUGGUAUAUGCCUUCUCUCAAGAUAUAUGGUAUUUGUGGUAUAAGGCAUAGCGACAUUGCCUUCUCUCUCACCCUACUCUAAUAAGGCUUUAAUAUCUGGAGCUCAUAGGUGGGAGAUAAAGUAUACAUACUUACAAGACAUUUAUUGUAUAGUCAAACCAUGGAUCCAAAGAAACAAAUCAAUAAGCCAAAUCAAGAUGUGCAUGUGUGGCGAAUGAAUGGUGUAUGGUGAUGAUGGUGAUAACAAUGGUGAAAGUCUAAUUCUACUUUUGCUCUUUUGAGGGGAUACAUACCUUCCUUGCUUUUUGAAACUUUAUGAGGAGAAUGAGAUGCUCUUCUUUUUCUUUCCUCUCAGGUGGGUAUCUUGUACCCCUAAUUCUACUGUCGGACACUUGUCCAUUUUUACCUCUCGUCUCACUUUUUCUUUCUUUCGAGGUUCCGGACACUUGCCCCUUUUUAUUUCCUCGUUUAUUAUUAUUUUUUUCUUUUCUUUUCUUCUCUUUUCUUUUUUUUCUUUUCAGAGCACUCAUCUCUUGAGAUAAUAUAGCAAGUGGUAGUAGCAAGAUAACUUGAGCAUUUAUUUCACAAGGAAAAACAGAAAUAUUUUUGGUUAUUCUCUCCCGGAUUAGGAGUAGAAUAUUUUUGGGUGGUUCUGGAGAUGGAAAUGAGUGGAUAUAUAUGGAUGGUACUUCCGGAGUAGAAGUAGCAUAUAUGAGUGAAUGUGCAAGUGAAAUCUUGAUUUAACCACAUGACAAGCUCCUAAGGGUCUACACAGCUUGACCACACUCAAUGCUCAUAAGCAGUAAAUAGUAAAUGUGUGGCUCAAAGUCUAGCAAGCAUGUAUAUAUAGCUGUGGUAGGAAUUUAAACUUUCAUCAUACAGGAACUCAUCAUGCAAUAUUUUAAAGAUUUUUCAAAGAUAAAAUUCUCCAGAAUUCUAGCAUCUCUAGGAACAGAUAAACAGCAGCUCAACCUUCCCAUAUCAUAUCCGUUAACAACUUAGAUUUCAGAUCAAGUUUUUAUCCCACAAGUUUAGAUCUAGAGCAAGCUUUAAAUUAUAACAGUUAUGUCUAAACUUGAGAGAGAACUUCAAAUGUGCAAAUUAGGCAGAGCAACUAUUCAUCAUAUCCAUGCUAGAGUUUUAUUAUUAAGAUUCAGAUUAGCAUAGCCACUUUUUUUAUUUAUUAAACACACUAAGCAAAAGAUAUAUAUAAGCACAAAAUCUUUAUUUGGUUUUUCAAAGUUUAUGUAUUUUAAUAUUCUAAUAUAAUAUAAGUAUAAAGAGAUGUAGUUAUACUUAGCGAGAUAAAUGGGGGUGCUCUCCCCCAAGCUGAAUUUUGACGUAAUUUUUAUUGAUGUAGCUAGCAGGUGGCAGAGGUGUAUUUGAAAGUCAGCAGCAUUCUGACAGCGAUUAGAAUGUCCUCCGUCUGCUAGUAUUCUUGAUUCUUAAAUUCUGUGGAGCUCAAAUAGAUAACAAAGCUUGUGGAACUAAUUAAGUGUUAGCAUAAAUAUCUAGCCUUCAUCAUGUUGAGCUUCCUCAAUAAAUAUUACUCCCUGUUUUUAUAUUUUUAUUUUAUAAAGCAGAAAAGAAAUAUUUAUUUUAUUUUUAUGCCACCACAGUGAAGGUACUUAUGGGUUUUAUGCCACUCGUAUUCACACAUAGGGCUUAGUAUUUUUUAACAUUUUUAUUUUCUUUUCAAGAUAGCAUGAUUAACUAAUAAUCUAUUUAAGGAAAGUAAAUAAUUAAAGGGAAAAGGAAAUGCAGAAAGGAUAAAUAUGGAUAACUACCGAUCUUACCUUUCGACGAGGGUUCAAUAUUUUAAGUCUUCUUAACAAGACUUCUCACCGUGUUCAUUCUUCAGGUGCGUCAUUUGAUUCAGGUGCGGACCUUGACGUCUGCACCUCUUGAUACGGUGUCACCCAUGUUCUUCAUUUGCCCAGCAGUUCGAAGUGCGGCGUUGGCAGUAACCUGCUCAGAGAGACAAGGCAGAAAUCAAGUGCAUGGGUCCUGUUGGUGGAAAACACCAACAGAACCUAAAGUGUAUUUGUUCUUCUCUAACACUAAGCAUAGUGAGCAAGACAAAGUUGAUGGAUGAAAAGUUCAUGAGUGUAGCACUUAUAACAUUUGUCAGAUCAGAUCGCUCAACCUUAUGAAAAGAUAAUCUAUCUAUGUAUAUGUCUUUUUCUUUAUAUCUCUCAAUGAUUGAAUGUGUAACAUUAUAGCUCAUAUGAUUAGGAGUGUGGGAUCAUGGAGGUAGUAUUAAGAACAAGGAUUAAAGGACUAAACAUGUUGAAUCAGCUGGGUUGGUUAAUCUAGAGUUGUAAAUCAUACAUCUUUGUCUCUUUUAUUUAUAUGAACGCUAGAACCAAGGAGAAGCUUAUAGAAGUGAUAGUCAAGUACCUUAAGGUGUUACCUUACUUGAAGAGUGAUGGUACCAUCUCACCUUGUGGAAGCUUCCCAUUCGUAGUGGUUGUGUAUCUUGUUUAUGUACUUUGUCUUCUUCCAUGGAUCAUCUCUCUAUG